CAAAUUAGAGCUUGAAUAAGUAUUUCAUUUACAUUGAAAUGAUAUUGUUUUUACAAUUAAUUUGA
rnacentral:tRNA from 1 species